rnacentral:rRNA from 1 species
GACGAACGCUGGCGGCGUGCCUAAUACAUGCAAGUCGAACGCUUCUUUCCUCCCGAGUGCUUGCACUCAAUUGGAAAGAGGAGUGGCGGACGGGGGAGUAACACGUGGGUAACCUACCCAUCAGAGGGGGAUAACACUUGGAAACAGGUGCUAAUACCGCAUAACAGUUUAUGCCGCAUGGCAUAAGAGUGAAAGGCGCUUUCGGGGGUCGCUGAUGGAUGGACCCGCGGUGCAUUAGCUAGGUGGUGAGGUAACGGCUCACCAAGGCCACGAUGCAUAGCCGACCUGAGAGGGUGAUCGGCCACACUGGGACUGAGACACGGCCCAGACUCCUACGGGAGGCAGCAGUAGGGAAUCUUCGGCCAUGGACGAAAGUCUGACCGAGCAACGCCGCGUGAGUGAAGAAGGUUUUCGGAUCGUAAAACUCUGUUGUUAGAGAAGAACAAGGACGUUAGUAACUGAACGUCCCCUGACGGUAUCUAACCAGAAAGCCACGGCUAACUACGUG